UCUCCGUUGGUGAACCAGCGGAGGGAUCAUUACAGGACUCGCAAGACUCCUUCACCCUGUGAACCUCACUACAAGCACGUUGCUUCGGCGGGUGUCCCGGCGGGGGUUUUCCCUCGCCGGGGCGCACAGCCCGCCGGCAGCCUACUAUACUCUGUCUCUUUGCGUUGGCAUCUCGAGAAAAACCAAACAAGUUAAAACUUUCAACAACGGAUCUCUUGGUUCUG
rnacentral:misc_RNA from 1 species